UGAAAGACAUGGGUAGUGAGAUGU
rnacentral:miRNA from 2 species